rnacentral:lncRNA from 1 species
UGUUUUUCUCUUUUCGUUAUUCCGUUCAUCAAUUUUUUUGUUAAAUCAGUGACAACCAUAUAAUACUAAAAUAAAAAUUUAGUAAACUACAUGAUACUAAAGUGAAAAUUAGAUAGAUCAUAGGUAGAGUAUCUGAAAUUUUUUGUAUAUAAUUUAAUGAAAAGAGAAAAACAAAACUUCAAAUACCACCCAUAUGAUUUCACACUUUUUUUACUUUAGUAUUUUAUAGUUUAAAGUGUAUCAAUUUAGUACCCUGUGAUUUCACACUUUUUUACUUUAGUACCCUAUGGUUUAAAGUGUAUCAGUUUAGUAUCCUGUGAUUUUAUUUUUCUCUUUUCGUCGGCUCCUUUGUCAAUAUUUCGUUAAAUUAUAUGCAAAAAACUUCAGAUAUCCUAUCUAGGUUUAUCGAAUAUUUACUUCAACACCUUUAGUUUUAACUUUGUCACUGAAUUUUUUUUUCCUCUGUUAAUAUUUUGUUAAAUUAUAUACAAAAAAUUCAGAUACCUUACCUAAGUUUAUCAAGUAUUCAUUUUAGUAUCCUUUAAUUUUAACUUUGUCGCUGAUUUAACAAAAAAAAUUAGUGAAAUAGAUAAUAAAAAGAGAAAAAUGAAACCACUGGGUACUAACUUGAUACACUUUAAACCACAGAGUACUAAAAUAAGAAAGUGCGAAACCACAGGGGCUAACGUGAUACACUUUAAAUCACAAGAUACUAAAAUGAGAAAGUAUGAAAUCACAGAGGGUAUUUGAAUUUUACCCUAAAUUAAACUUCUAUUCUCCAUAAAUUAUAAUUA